AUGGACAUGAAUAUCGGACUCCGGCACAGAUACCAAACAUACUUUUGUUUUGUUCAAAGGUUCCAGCGUAGCCUCACCUCGAAUACGCAGGUUUUGAACCAUAGUAGGUGGAUUCCUCCAGCUGAGGAUUGGAUUGGCUUAAACGUCGACGGUGCUGUGGGCAAGCACUCUAGAGCUGUUUGUGGGGGCCUUUUGCAGGAUCAUUAUGGGGUCUGGUGUGGAGGCUUCUCCAAAAUCAUUGGCAUUUGCAGUAUAGAGGUUGCAGAGCUUUGGGAAGUGUUUGAGAGUCUCAAAUUGUCGAUAUUCUUCUCUUAA